rnacentral:miRNA from 14 species
UGGAUUUAACAGGUAUUUAUAGAACAUUCCAUCCUUGGGCUGGAGAGAUGGCUCAGCCGUUAAAGGCUAGGCUCACAACCAAAAAUAUA